ACUGUAUAUUUAUUUUUAGGAUAAAGAUAGGAUAAAUAUGGGAAGAAUAUUUAGACAAAUGUUGUAGUAAAACAUCGCAUUACUGGAUAGUUCUAAAGUUGCAGCACUGAGCACUUAUGAAAAGCAACUGUUACAGCUGCUGCACAAUCUGAAACAUAAUCUUUGGAUUUUACAACCAUGUGAUGAAGUUUUUAAUUAUAGAAUCAAGCUUCAUCCCCCCAACAGGAUUGAUUUAUGUAUUCUUUAGAAGGAUCCUACGUAGAGAAGAAACAUGGGGCAAGUUUAUUAUUGGUUUAUCUAUGUAACCUUUAAUUCUUUGGCUAAAGAAACUGGAAGGUACUGUAUUUUGGAGUCCUCGAUCUGAUUUGCAAAACUGCCAGGUAGAAAAAUAAGCAAUUGCAACACUGCAAGAAUCUGCGAGGCUGCACUACAUCCCAUGUUACUGUUGAUCCAAAUUACAUGUUAACCUGAUCCAAAAUAAAACAAACAGAGAAGCAAACAAACAAAACCAACCAGCCAACCAAAACUACAAACAUAUUUUUUAACUAGUCUUAAAAUCUAUCAUUUCAGUGAUCUGAUUAAUAGAGUGAAACCUAAGCGCAACCAAGGGAGCACUAAACUAUGGCACAGGACAUGAACAAACAGAUGGAACUUUUAAAUCUGGUUCUGAUGCAACCGCAAGUGUUCAUGUAGCUCUAUUUCAAGUGAACUAUCCAUCCUGCAUAUUAGAUGACUUGAGGCCCUGUGGGGAAAAUAUAUGAUUCUGU